rnacentral:rRNA from 1 species
GAUGAACGCUGGCGGCGUGCCUAAUACAUGCAAGUCGAGCGAACAGACGAGGAGCUUGCUCCUCUGACGUUAGCGGCGGACGGGUGAGUAACACGUGGAUAACCUACCUAUAAGACUGGGAUAACUUCGGGAAACCGGAGCUAAUACCGGAUAAUAUAUUUAACCGCAUGGUUCAAUAGUGAAAGACGGUUUUGCUGUCACUUAUAGAUGGAUCCGCGCCGCAUUAGCUAGUUGGUAAGGUAACGGCUUACCAAGGCGACGAUGCGUAGCCGACCUGAGAGGGUGAUCGGCCACACUGGAACUGAAACACGGUCCAGACUCCUACGGGAGGCAGCAGUAGGGAAUCUUCCGCAAUGGGCGAAAGCCUGACGGAGCAACGCCGCGUGAGUGAUGAAGGUCUUCGGAUCGUAAAACUCUGUUAUUAGGGAAGAACAAAUGUGUAAGUAACUAUGCACGUCUUGACGGUACCUAAUCAGAAAGCCACGGCUAACUACGUG